AACCGCAAUGUGUUCCAGAAACUUGCCCAGAGGGUUACAGGCUGUUACCAAACGAAAACAGUAGUACUAGUUGUUAUUUGUAUGGUGACAGAAUACCGUGGGAGGAAGCUCGGUCGAUUUGUGCCAGUACACCAGGUGCCUACAUGUGGAGACCGAACACGGAACAAGAAGCCAGUUAUGUUUUCCAGGAAUUUAUUCAUCCCAAUGAAAAUACUUUAUGGACUGGUGCAAAUGAUAGAGACGGUGAUGGGACCUAUACAUUUUACAAAGAAAAUGGUCCAUUUUCAAAAGAUCUUCCCCCAUUUG